rnacentral:rRNA from 1 species
AACGUAGGAGACAAACGUUAUCCGGAGUUACUGGGCGUAAAGGGCGUGUAGGCGGUCUGUUAAGUCUGGCGUGAAAGCUCUCGGCUAAACCGGGAGAGGUCGUUGGAUACUGGCAAACUAGAGGACGGUAGAGGCGUGUGGAAUUCCGGGUGUAGUGGUGAAAUGCGUAGAGAUCGGCAGGAACACCCAGGGGGAAACCAGCCGACUGGGCAUCUCCUGACGCUGAGGUGCGAGAGCGUGGGGAGCGAACCGG